AACAUCUCAAAUCUCUCUGCGCUUGCGCAAAAGAGAAUUGGAUUUGAGCGAUCCCGACUCCUUCGUCAGAAAAGAGGAGGGUCGCUUGAAAUGCAGGUGCAGCUGGACAUUCUUCUGAGCUAAAAGCAUAUCUAUUUAGUCCCGUCAAACGGAUUAUUACUUUUGCUUCAGCUAAUAUAAAGGUCGAAUGAACUACCAACGCUGAUUGCAGGAAAACUCGUUCUUAACCGAACUUGUAA
rnacentral:misc_RNA from 1 species